rnacentral:rRNA from 1 species
AUUGAACGCUGGCGGCAUGCUUUACACAUGCAAGUCGAACGGUAACAGGGUGCUUGCACCGCUGACGAGUGGCGAACGGGUGAGUAAUGCGUCGGAUCUGCCCGAUAGAGGGGGAUAACCACUGGAAACGGUGGCUAAUACCGCAUAACGUCGCAAGACCAAAGAGGGGGACCUUCGGGCCUCUCACUAUCGGAUGAACCCAGAUGGGAUUAGCUAGUAGGCGGGGUAACGGCCCACCCAGGCGACGAUCCCUAGCUGGUCUGAGAGGAUGACCAGCCACACUGGAACUGAGACACGGGCCAGACUCCUACGGGAGGCAGCAGUGGGGAAUAUUGCACAAUGGGCGCAAGCCUGAUGCAGCCAUGCCGCGUGUAUGAAGAAGGCCUUCGGGUUGUAAAGUACUCUCAGCGGGGAGGAAGGCGAUGUGGUUAAUAACCGCGUCGAUUGACGUUACCCGCAGAAGAAGCACCGGCUAACUCCGUGCCAGCAGCCGCGGUAA